GCAAUGGUUGUCCAGUGGUAGAAUUCUUGCCUUCCAUGCUUGAGACCUGGGUUCAAGUCCCAACCAAAGUG
rnacentral:tRNA from 1 species